GCGCAGCGCGUACUCCCACUGUCCAGGUUCGGGGGUGAGCGCCUGGUCACCGACGUGGUCGCCGUCGGUGAGGGUGCCCAGGGCGGCCUCGUCGCCGUACUUGCCGCGGCCGAUGCGGUGGAUCUUGCCGUGCGCGACGAGCAGGAGCGCGUCCACGGGCGCCCCGGCGGAGGUGAGGGUGUCGCCGGAGGAGAACUCGUGCUGCUCGCAGCGGUCGGCGAGCUGCUGCAGCGCGCCGUCGUCGGUGAGACCGCGCAGCAGGGGGAUCUCCCGCAGUUCGGACGGGAUGACGCCGACGUCGGCGCCCGUGUUGGUGAACUGGAUCCGGCCGUCGCCGAGGGUGUGGGUGAGCCGACGGUUCACCCGGUAGGUGCCGCCGGUGGUCUCCACCCAGGGCAGAAUGCGCAGCAGCCAGCGGGAGGAGACGCCCUGCAUCUGCGGGGGCGUCUUGGUGGUGGUGGCGAGUUUCCGGGCCGCGGCGGUCGAAAGACUCGUCGG
rnacentral:antisense_RNA from 1 species